rnacentral:rRNA from 1 species
GACGAACGCUGGCGGCGUGCCUAAUACAUGCAAGUCGAACGCAGUGGGGACGGGUGAGUAACACGUGGGUAACCUCCCAUCAGAGGGGAUAACACUUGGAAACAGGUGCUAAACCGAUACUGAUGGAUGGACCCGCGGUGCAUUAGCUAGUUGGUGAGGUAACGGCUCACCAAGGCCACGAUGCAUAGCGGACCUGGGAGGGUGAUCGGCCACACUGGGACUGAGCCACGGCCCAACCUCUUACGGGAGGCGCCAGUAGGGAAUCUUCGGCAAUGGACGAAAGUCUGACCGAGAAACCCCGCGUGAUGGAAGAAGGUUUUCGGAUGGUAAACCUCGGUUGUUGGGGAAGCGGUAUCUAACCAGAAAGCCACGGCUAACUACGUGCCAGCAGCCGCGGUAAUUC